UCAACUAAUUGUGCUCUCCAAUCACUCCGGGAGAAGCAUGUGAAGCAUCCGACGCCAUAUCUUAAAGAGCCUCAAUGAGAAAUUACCAAGAGUUGGAACUAUUCUCUUCUUAGAACCCUAACCCCAAUCUCCAAAAUCAAACCCAAAUCUCACUUGUACUAUGAUAUAGCUUAGCUUUGUUGUAUAAUUUCUCUUAUGAGUGCUUGAUUUGUGAAAUAAAUUUCAUGAGUUGAAAGAAAAUUGGAGAAGGAAGAAGUGAAGGAAAGGAGGAACAGAGAGGGUGUCGAGGGAAGUGGAAUGGAAAACAAAAGGUUAAUAGGCUUUUACUCCCGUGCAAUAUAGGUCACUUUUGGUUUUCCCCCGUAAAAAUUUUUUGUCAGAUUCCGUCCUUGUAAAAAAAAUUUGUUUUGGAAAACCCCCCUAAGCCAGCUGACUAUGCACUUUCGCUGAUGUGGCACGCUGAGUCACCGUUUUCUGAUGACGUGGCGCGCUGAGUGUAUAAUUUUUAUUUUGUACACGUGGCAUUUGUGAUUUUUUUUUAAAAAAAUAAUUAAAAAAACGAAAUAAAAUUCUAGAAAAAUUAAUAAAAAUGAAAAAUAAUGAAAACAAAUGCUGAAAAAAUAAAAAAUAAUUCUGGAAAAAUUAAUAAAAAUGAUUAAAAAAUUGUCGAAAAAAUACUAAAAAAAAAUCUAAAUUAAGUUCCUGAAAUAUUUUAAAUUCCUGAAUUUUUCCUUUUUUUAUAAAAAUUCUAAUAAAAAUUAACACUUCUUAUAAAAAUUUCAGGAACUUAAAAAAUAACACUUUUUUAGAAUUUUUCAGGAACUUAAUUAAGAUUUUUUUUUUUAUAAUUUUUUCGAAAAUUUCGAUACAUAUCAAUUUUUCCAGAUUUUUUUCAUUUUAUGAGAUUUUUUAAAUUUUUCCGGUAUUUUUUCAGAAUUUUUUUAUUUUUUAAGAUUUUAUUCCUUUUUUUUAUUUUUUUUAUAAAAAAUCACAAAUGCCACGUGUGCACAAUAAAAAAAUAAAAAUAGUUAUACAGUCAGCGUACCACAUCAGUGAAAAUACGCAGUUAGCUGGCCUAAAGGAGUAUUCCAAAACCAAAAAAAUUUACAAGGACGAAAUCUGACAAAAAAAAAUUACAGGGGGGAAAACCAAAAGUGACCUAUAUUGCAGGGGGGUAAAGGCCUAUUAACCCAAAAUGAAUAAGAGUGAGUAUGCUGUAGAAAGUUCCACCGUGUUCUAGUUUUUUUUUUUUUUUUUUAACAUGAUUACUUAACUAUUAUUUUUUUAUUAUUAUAUUAUAAUAUAUGUGUUUAAGUGAAACGGUGCGUUUCAGUCUUCCCCCCUUAAGAAAAUUCGUCCUCGAAUUUUGUUAAUAUCAUAAACACCACUAACCUUAAUUUUGGAAUAAGUAUGGAUACUUUGCAUGCAAUACUUCUUCGGGUUCCCAAGUGGUUUCUUCACCGGACGGACCUUUCCAAAGAACCUUCACUGAAACAAUAUCUUUUGAACGUAAAUGUCUCACUUCCUUGUCUACUACAGCUACCGGAUGUUCGGUGUAUGAUAAAUUCUCAUCCAAUUGCACAUCUUCAUAACUAAUCACAUGAGAAGGUAUAAAGGACUUUUGAAGCAUAGAAAUAUGAAAGACCAGAUGAACUCCCGAGAGAUCCGGUGGAAGUGCAAAUCGAUAAGCUACAUGUCCGACUCUCUCCAAAAUCUCAAACGGCCCAAUGAAUCUUGGAGUUAUCUUGCCCCUUUUUCCAAACCGCAAAACGCCCUUCAUAGGCGAAACACGUAAAAAAUACAUGCUCCCCCACUGUGAACUCUAAGGGACGUUGCCUGUUGUCAGAAUAAGAUUUGUGCCUACUCUGAGCAGUUACUAAACGAUGUCGAAUCAACUUAACCUUAUCAAUGGCAUCCUGAAUCAACUCGGGACCCACUAGCUUAGCUUCUCCAACUUCAAACCAUCCUAUAGGAGACCUACAUCGCCUACCAUACAAUGCCUCAAAAGGUGCCAUUUGGAUACUUGAUUGGUAACUGUUGUUGUAUGCAAAUUCAACCAUCGGUAAAUAUUGAUCCCAACUUCCUCCAAGAUCAAGAACACAAGCACGGAGCAUAUCCUCUAAAAUUUGUAUAGUUCUCUCAGAUUGACCAUCAGUUCGAGGAUGAAAAGUUGUACUAAGAUUCAAACGAGUUUCUAAUGCCGCUUGAAAAGACUUCCAAAACUGAGCAGUAAAUUGAGCCCCACGAUCAGAGAUAAUAGAUCAGAGAUAAUAGAAAUUGGUACACCAUGCAAAGAAACAAUCUCCUCUAAAUAAAUCUUAGCAUACUGAGAAGCAGAAAGGUUUUGACUCUGUAUGGGUGAUUAUAGACCAUUUGACAAAGUCUGCACAUUUCUUACCUGUGAGAAUCUGAAUCAUAGGUGAUUUUAGGUUUGAUUCAAGAUAGUUUCAAUGUUCGACAUCUUCACUCUCUUUUGAUGAAUCGGGUCAUUGAUAUCGAUCUUUCGUUAUUUGGAUCAUUUAUUUUUAUCUCACAUUUAUCGUGAAUCUAAAUAAGUCAUAGAUGUUUUCACCAAGAAUAACUUAAAAUUGGCCCCUUAAUUUUAAUUUCUGGCACCGUCCCUAAUUGUAGGGCUUAUCCCCUGCCUUGCAUAAAAGAAAAGGAAACUAAAAUAUUAAGAUUUAUUCCAUGUUUGCGUUCCACACUACCUUAUGACUUGCUAACUCAUUGUCCAAGUUACACUUCAUGAAAAAUAAACCCCAACAGUAGGGAGACAAAUAUUAGAAAUUUGGAGACUAUAUUUUUGUAUUUAAAAUUAUAAGGCUAAAAUUGUGAAUCAAACAAAAAAUCAAUGAGAAUAGGAUGAAGUAGAGUGGUUAAAAGUUAAAACUUUCUUUAAAAAAAAAAUAGUGGUUAAAACUUAAAAUAAUAUUGUCUUCGCAUGAUAUUGGUACAAAGUUUCCUCAACUGUGAGUUAAGUAAAGAAUGAGUGCUAUGAGCUCUAAGUUUGUUUUCUCUGCUCAAAGUGAUCAUAACCUUCAAACUACAAAAAAACCACCAUAUCUAAAAAAGCCCCCAACCCCAAAGAUCUCCUUCCGUUAUAAACUCCUAGGCCCCUCCCAAGAAACCCUCGUCUUCAUAAUAUAAGACCAUGUUCAAUGACCCUAUUGAAAGGGUGAUUCAAUAUGUUGAACCAUUGGAAGGAGAGUAUUGAAGAUGAUGUGGAGGAAAGAGGUGAUGAAUACCUUCAACAUGUUGAACCUGCAAACCGAUGGACAAAUGACGAGUUUUCGUUGGCAGAAACAGGCGCGUGCGUCACACGCGCAGACAGUGGCAAGUGGAACGGCUGGAACAUGAGAGAGAAAAUGCUGAAAGGAUAAGUGGGUGACACUUGGUAGUUCCUUAUUGGGUGCCUUUUUUUUUUUUAUCUCAUCUUAAUUUUUAAACUCAAUUAUUUCAUUGAAAAUUAUUUUAUUUUUUAAAACUUUUUUUUUUACCAAAAUUCAUGAUUUUUUUGGCUAUAAAUUGAGAUUUGAUUCAUUUGAUUUGGACACAGAAAAAAACUAAGUUUUUCACUAUCUUAAUAUUAUUUGUGUGUCGCGUGCUUAGUUUGUUGUAUUAUAUUUUAAGUUAAGAAAAUAAAAAUAAAUUUUUUAAAUAAAUUUUGUUUUUACAAAAACAAAAAAAUAAACUGUUAAGUGUUUUUUAUUUUAAUUUAUUUAUAAUCGAUAAUUGUAAUUUUAUGUAAUUAUAAAAACAAAAACAUAAAAUUAAAUAAGAAUAAGAAUAAGAAAUAAAAGGUGGUGAGGUAGAGUGUUGAAUGAAAAACCAUUAGAGAGAGUAAAAGUUGAAUGUGUGUUGAAUAAGAGAAAGAAAAUGAUGUGGAGUGUUGGGAAUUGAAAAAGUGGAUGUUGAAAGAAAAAAACCAUUAGAGGUGGUCUAGGAGGGAGUGAUCAGUAUACGAUGUGUAAGUACGGGUAUGAUAUCUAGUAUAGAUACAAGCACAGGUACGAAAAAAAAAAGUAAAUUUUAGAAAUAGAAGGUACAUUAUUUCAAAGAAAAAAAAAAGAUACGUGUAUUUUUUUGUUUUUUUUUUUAAAGAAAGAAGGUACGUGUAUGUUAAAAUGUAUUUGAUCGGCUAAACAGUAAAUAUUUGACAACAAUAUACAACAUAAGAUAGAACAACAUAUGGCAAAAUUUUAUGUUAUUAAAUUACUUUUGAUCUCGAUUUUUUGUGAACAGAAUGCUAUUUUAUUAUUUUAGUCGACUUAUACAUUAGACAAAAAAUUGUAUUGUGAUUUAAUUUUUGUCUUGUCUUGUAGUUGUCUCUCAAACAAUUUUACAAAUUAAAAACUUCUAUAAUUGAAAUUGUCUGAUCUUAUCUUUCAUUUUUUAUCAGAACAAAUGCACCCUUACAUACUUCAAUCAUCAUGCUUCAAAGAUUUACAUCAAUAUUUUCACCAAAAGUAAGAUGAAUAAUUAAAAUAUACAAUAGAAAAGCAAAAUACACUAUGCUAUUUUUUUAUAUUUUUUUGUAGAUACACUAUGCUAUUUUUACUCCUACAUGUUUUGUCGUAUCCACCACUCUCAAGUUUAUAAAUGAAUAGGGAUCGUAUUUAUGGUAUGAGUAUAUGCGUACCUUGUAUUAAUAGAGAAAUGUUAAAGUGCCCUUUGGAUAAAGAAACAAAAAUAAAAAUAAUGUGUUGAAAAGUGAUGAAAAGUGGUCAAAUUAACUUGUAAAAAGUUUACAAAUUGUUCUUUUCAAUGUAAAGUUAUUAAUUUUGGUUACCUUCACUGGUGCUUUAAAGGCACUUGUUAACAAGACCUUAAUACUACUCCCUUCGGUCUCAAAUAUAAGAAAAUAUUCUUUUUUAGGUUCAUUGAGUAGUUAAUGUAUCUGGUCUACAUUGUAAAACAGAUACAUUAAUUAUUAAAUGAACCUAAAAAGAUAAUUUUUUCUUAUAUUUGAGAUCGGAGGGAGUAUAUGUUGUGGGAGAAUAUGAUGAGUUAAUUGACGUGACAAAAUAUGAAAGUUAGUGUUACUAGAGCAAUGUUAUAUCUCUAGAAAAAUAACUUUAAAAAAAUUUCAAGAAUAAAACUUGCCAUUUUUCAGCCAAUCACAAUGCACUAUUUGCCACAAUUUAAGGGGGUGUGGCUGAAAAAUAGGAAGUGAACAAAUAAAUCAUGCAAUUAAAACUUGCCAACUAUGUCUUGAAAAAUUCUUGAUGCUAUUUUUCUAGAGAAAUAACAUUUUCCGUGUUACUAUUAUGCAUAGAAUAGAAUAUAAAAGUAGUUUUUUUUUUUUUGGAUUAUGUUUGAUGAACCACCUUUAUUUCCAUCCACCCCUUAUACCACCCUGAUGUGGCAUCAUGUGCUUGGAAAUUAAUUUUAUUUUAAUUUAUAAGUAAAAGAAAACAAAAUUAAAAGAAAAGAAAAAUUAAACAAGCCUUGCAACGUAACCAAAAAAAAAAAAAAAAGCCUUGCAACUCUGGCUGGUUUCCUCUCUCUCUCAAUCCUUUCUUUCUUUCUCUUUCUCACCUAGUUGAAUUUAAACAAAAUUGGAGAAAACUCAUAUGCAAAAUCAGUGUAAAGUUUGUGAAUUUUGAAGGGAAAUUGAGAAUGGAGGAAAUGGAUAAAAGGUGUGAAAUUUGAAUGUGGAAAUUGAAAUGGGAAUGAAAGGAAAAAUUUGAGCUAUGAUUGUGAAUUGGGUUAGGGAAAUUUGUUGGUAGAUAAAGAGGAAGUUGUGGAAGAAAUUAAGAAGAAGAAUGUUGAAGCUGAAGUUUGGACUGAAGACUUGGACUUGCAUGACAGAAGAGGGAAGAAGGCGAUGGCUUUGGAGCCUCCGACCACCUACAACCACCCUUGUAUGACAGAAGAGGGAAGAAUGGUGGUGGUGACGGUCAUAUGACAAUGAGAACGGGAGAGAGAUACGAUGGUGGUGACGGCGGUGGUGCGGAGGAAGAAAUAUGGAAAGCGGUGGAGAGAAAAACAUACAAGGAGAUGAGCCAGAGAAUGGAAGAGAGAAGAGGGUGACAAAGAGAAAGUUGCAAAGUGUUUAUGACAAAAUUGUCCUUAAAUUUUUAUUGUUUGACAAAAUUAUCCUCAUAAUUAAUAAAAAAAAUGCCCCAUGUAAGGAUGUACAUGAUGGUUUGCCACAUAAGUGUGUUUAUGUAUCACUUCUCUGGUUUUAAACAAGAAUAUAAAAGUAGUUAGAAAUGGACGUGUGGUAGAUGUGAUCAAGUAACCCCCACCCAGCCCCCAGCGACCGUAGCUAAUUCCAAUCAGAAGAAUUUUAUUACUAUAAACAAAGAAAACAGACAACAAACUACCAAGCGAACUUUCAUUCAUGUUUUCGGACAUGGAGGAAAAGAACAAAAGUAGAUCACUUGUUGAUAGUGACCCAUUUUGAUGUAAGCAAUCCAUUUUUCUACUAAAUUAUUCUUUCCAGCUUUUAUCACCAAGUCAGCUUUUGACAUAAUUCAUUGCCUCUUUUUUUUUUUUUUUAACUAGGACUUAAUUCAUUGUUUUGUUGAUAUUGAUUUCAUGCCAAUUUUAUUAUAUAUAAAAAAAUUUAUAUGAUUCGACCAGUUUAUGGGUCAGCUGUCGGGAGAAUUGACCAAGACAAAGCCUCCGUUCUUAAGAAAAGUUGUCAGUAUAAUUAAUGUGUCUGUUUUAUGUGUUAAUAAUAUUACGAAAUUGUUCUUUGUAUGUGUAUUAAAUUUAACUUUUCAUAUUUCAAGACAAGAUAGUAGUAUUAAUUAGGUGUAUGUUUAGGAAAAAAUAAUAAAUGCAUCUAGUAAUUUGAAAAGUGGUUUACAUUUAAAGACAAAAAUAAAAUUAAAUGAGUGUUUAGAUAUAGAGACAGAGGGAGGAGUAUAAUGAAUCAAGAAAAAAAAAUCGAUAUUGUUAAAUUUUAAUGCAAAGUUGCAUGUGUACCUAGACUUAAGCAGGGUGUUCGCAAUGCUAGUCCCUAUAUGAGAUUAUUGUUAGUUUAUCGAUUUAGAAAACAAAUUUAUGGGUAGAUUUUAAUUUGUUGUAUAUAGAGUAAAAUACAAACGAUUAAUACAAUUUUUUUUCUUCUUUUCUCUCGUUCUUUCUCUUAACUCUCUAUUUCUCUUGAUUAUAUUUUUCUUUUUUAUUGAAAAGAGAGAAUAAAAUUAGAGGAGAAAGAGAAAGGUGGUCUAAUGUGAAAAUGAACCUUCGAUUAAUGCAAUAUCUUUUUUUCUUUCUAAAAGUACAAAUAAUUCAAAUUAAAGGAGAAAGAGAAAGGUGGACAAGCUUGUUGUAAAGAUGCAACUCUUAACACCUUAAUCACAUGGGUCCUUAUAAGUCAAAUCAGAAGAAUGUAAUCUCAAUUGUCGCUAAAAAUGCUAUCUUCAUCUUUUAAUGAAAAAAAUACAAUAUUUGAUUUAUUUGCCCAAAGUUACAAGUCCCUAACUAAUUUCCUGUUAACAUUUCAUAAACCACUUUUUGCAUAAGAGAAAAGAUAAAGUGUAUUGUAUGCGUGUCUUUUGAUAUGAAACCUUAAACAUGAUGAUUAAAUUAGGUUAAUUUAUCUUUCUUUUGAAUCUAUUUUUAUUUAUAAACUUUAUUAUUUUACUUGCCUGAUGUGCUCGUAUGUGUUUGCUUUUUUAUAAAAGUAAUCGAAAAUUAUGCAAUUCAUUUUGGUUCCUCUAUUUUUCUAUUUUAACAAUAACAAAAAAAAGUGUUGGCUCUCAAUUUUAAAAGAUGGUUUGUUGUCCCCAUAUUUAUUUAUUUAUUCAGAAUUUUUGUCUCUCGUGUCAUUUUUGAGUCAUUUUUAAUGAUGUGACAAUUAUUUUGAAGUAGUAACGUUUAGUAGACGUAAUUUUAUUGACAUAAAUAUUCAAUGUGGUCUAAUAUGUGUUGUUAUCAUAUAAAUGAAUAGGCUAUGUCAUAAAAAUUACCCAAAAAUAAGAUGCGGGAGCAAAAAAAAAAGUAAAAUAUAAGGAUGAAAAUACUAUAUUUUUUUAAAUAGGAGGACUAAAACUUCAUUUUUAAAAUAGAGGACUAAAAGUGCAUUUAAAUAAAUAAAAGAUUAUUUGGUUGGGUAAAUAAGGAUAUAUGUUUUUUACUGAAAGGAUAAAAUUUUAAAUAUAAUAAUUAAAAUGAAGGGUAAAAUUGAAAAAAGAAAUUAUAUCAGAACUUGGUAUUCUCUUUGUAUAUAUGUACGAAAUUGUUUAAAUGAAUGAUAAAAUUAGAAGAUAACAUGAAGUAUUCUCUUCAUAUUCUUCCAUAGAGCUGCAACAUAAUGAAUCUAGAUAAUAGAUUGCAUUAUCUAUUCGGUGAAUCUAGAUAAUAGAUCGUAUUACCUAUUCAGAUAGCGAUUGAUGAAUCCAUGCAAGAAUCAUAAUAUUGCAUCGGAUCCACGGAGCAUACAAAUGAUCAUAAAUUGAGGGUUUGGGAAGACUUUCGUCAAUGAUUUUUUUUUUUUGUUCUUCGAAAUCAAUGCUAUGUGCAUUGAUCGCUCCUCCUAUGGUAAUCUUGUGAUCCAGAGUUGGAGAAACAAGAAUAGAGGAUGUAUUUUCAUUUGAGUGGAAGUGCAAGUAAUAGGAAUUUGCAAAAUUCAUAGAGAAAUCGAAAUAGGUCAGAAUAGUCAUGAUCAAAGAGGAAAAGUGAGAAGGAAAUAUGCAAAAGAUGCACGAGGAAUAAAGGGAAAAGGCACAUAGAGCGAAAUGAAUAAGAAGCGAUCAAUAAUGGCUACCAGCUAUGGUUGAGCUCUGAUACGAUGAUAACAUGAAUAAAUCAAGCUAAGAAUAAACUAAAUUUCAUUCUUGAUGUAAAAUCAAUUUCUUGCAUACACGGUAAAAGUCAAUGUAUGUGUGUAUACUUCCUCCAAUCUCAUUUAUAAAUAAAUCUUUACUUUCUAUAUUCAUUGAAUUAAUAAUUGAUGCAUG
rnacentral:lncRNA from 1 species